AGUGAACGCUGGCGGUAGGCCUAACACAUGCGAGUCGAACGGCAGCACAGUAAGAGCUUGCUCUUACGGGUGGCGAGUGGCGGACGGGUGAGGAAUACAUCGGAAUCUACUUUUUCGUGGGGGAUAACGUAGGGAAACUUACGCUAAUACCGCAUACGACCUACGGGUGAAAGCAGGGGAUCUUCGGACCUUGCGCGAUUGAAUGAGCCGAUGUCGGAUUAGCUAGUUGGCGGGGUAAAGGCCCACCAAGGCGACGAUCCGUAGCUGGUCUGAGAGGAUGAUCAGCCACACUGGAACUGAGACACGGUCCAGACUCCUACGGGAGGCAGCAGUGGGGAAUAUUGGACAAUGGGGGCAAGCCUGAUCCAGCCAUACCGCGUGGGUGAAGAAGGCCUUCGGGUUGUAAAGCCCUUUUGUUGGGAAAGAAAAGCAGCAGGUUAAUACCCCGCUGUUCUGACGGUACCCAAAGAAUAAGCACCGGCUAACUUCGUG
rnacentral:rRNA from 1 species